rnacentral:rRNA from 1 species
CGUAGGGUGCGAGCGUUAAUCGGAAUUACUGGGCGUAAAGUGUGCGCAGGCGGCCGCGCAAGUCGAGUUGUGAAAGCCCCGGGCUUAACUUGGGGAAUUGCGCUCGAAACUACGUGGCUGGAGUGUGGCAGAGGAAGGUGGAAUUCCACGUGUAGCGGUGAAAUGCGUAGAGAUGUGGAGGAACACCGAUGGCGAAGGCAGCCUUCUGGGCCAACACUGACGCUCAUGCACGAAAGCGUGGGGAGCAAACAGGAUUAGAUACCCUGGUAGUCCACGCCCUAAACGAUGAUGACUAGUUGUUGGAGGAGUUAAAUCCUUUAGUAACGCAGCUAACGCGUGAAGUCAUCCGCCUGGGGAGUACGGUCGCAAGAUUA